UCCAAAUAAUGAAGAGUCAUAGUCUGCGAGCUAGGACAUGCCUGUGAGCAUGUCCAGCACAAAUAUCUUGGUUAAAGUACAAGGACAUAGAAUGUACUUCUUUCCUUAUGUCUUGCAGCUACAUAGGAUAGAGCUUAACAAAGAAUUAUUGGCAAAAAGCAAGAAGGCUUUGAAGAAAGUUAGCCUUUGAAAGAAACUAUUAUUUCUAACAUUUAUUGUUAUUCUUUAACAAGAAGGGAAACUUUGAAGAGGGACUUUUUACUUUCCACACCAAUUCUAUCUGUCUCAAUGUGCAAAUGCUUUUUACCAGGCCUCACUGCCUCCCAGUUCUGUGGGGGACCCAGGCCUGCUGUUACGGAUGAAACAAGAGGCAUAUGGCUUGGCCUGUGCCUCAAGCAUUGCCAGUCUUACCAGCUUUAUAAACCAUGCGUCAAGUGGUGUCUUCACAAGGGCAGCCCUGAGGCGCUGGGGUCGAGCGGGCUUGCAGCAAAAGACAGCACCUUCCCCAUGCAGCUCCUGGACACCCUUCCAACUUGGUAGGGCUUUUCGUUAGAGGUUCCCAGAGGGAGUUGCCAAGGGCUGGGCUGGCUGCACAAGACUCCCCCAAAGAGCUUAAACAGGGGACUUCCCACCCCAUCACCUUCCAGGCAAUCUUACCUAGGUCAGGAGCGGAGCCAAAAUCGCAUAUUGUGUCAGCACUUGCACAGCUGUGGUGAGCUGCCUGGAAAUUUCUGCUUUUCAUCCUCUUGGGUCUCCAUGUGGACCUGCCAUGAUGAUGAUGCCAUUUGAAAGCAUUGAAUCUGAAGCUCAGAGAAGGAAGAGACUUGGCGAGGCACCUCUGCCUGCCAGAGCCACAGAGCUGAGUUCCGGGCACUGCCCCAUCUGUAGGGCUGCGUGGGAUUCUCAAUGGAAGAUCUGGAGAGCCUGGGCCUGCUCACCUGAUUACCGAGGAAAACAAACAUUUAGCUGCUGCCUGUUUACUUCCCAUACCUAUUUGGGUUUGAUAGUCUCAGAUGCAGAGUCUUUGGGCCUGUUUUGUUUAUUUAUCUGUCUUUUGAUCUGCAGCCCAGCUCUGGGUUACAAGGAAACCAGGUAGGCCCAAUUAGCUUUCAGGGAUGUUUGCAGAGGAGGCAGCAUCUCCUGCCUCUCAGAGAUGUGAACAAAUAAUGGUUUAAUAAUUGACACGUCUGUGCCUUAGGAGACCAUGCCAGCUUCGAAUGAAGAUGAUUGAUCAGAAGGGAAGGAACCAGAAAGCCCAUGCCAAGCUCGGGACCCCAUCGGCCCUCGCUCCCAGCCAGGAAGGGGGUAGCCAGGCUGGGGUGAUUUUAGGGGGCAUGAACAGGCCAGUGUGCUUCCCGGGCAGGUCCUAGGGAGACCAGCACUGGCCUCUGUGCUCGCUUGACACCCUCUUUGCUGAGCUCUUUUGAGAACCUGCCACUGCCAAGUCCUCGGACACUGCUGAGGAUAGCUAUGAGCAAGGCUUCUGUGAGAUUUGACCACAAGAAAGAAAGCAGAGAGGAGAGGAUGAGAGCCACAUUUACUAGGAUGUUACCCAUGCAGGUGUGAUGCUGAGCGUAGUUACACCCCUGCUAUUCUUACCAGCUCAGAGAUGUUAAGCUUCUUCCCUGGAGCCACACAGCUAGAAGUGGAGGAGCCAGGAUUUGAAUCUAGGUGGUUGAUGGGCUGCCCUUACUGAGGACAUCCUGUGUGCUGGGCCCUGUGCUGAGUGCCCUAGGUGUCACCUCCCUGACCCCAGGGCACAGGUAUGGACACCAAGGGCUUGGCCAGUGCCAGGCUUCCAGGGCUGGCGAGUGGCAGAGUGAGGCCUGCCCCAGCAUGGGCUCUUGCCUCUUUCCUGUACUAAAAGUGUCACUCAUGGUAGCGUCUGUGAGCUGAGGCUCCCAGGAACUAGCCAGCCCUGUCGAUUCUGACGCAAAGAGAAUGAGCUGACUUCAAUUCUGAUGUUCCAGAGUCACAUAGAGGGUGGAAAACAUUCCCGAGGAGGAACUCGACCUGCAGAGGUUUCUGAACCCAGAAAGUCUCGCAAACCCCUCCCAGGGUCCGAUAAUCAGAGAGUGAUGAGUUUUCUCCUGUAGAACGUUGAAGACAAAACAUGGUCAGAUGUGUUCAUUGUCCUGGCUUUAUUGUUUUGUUUGGAUGACCCUUUGAGUGAGACCAUUUGCCUUGAGAAUUAAAACAAAAUUAAACAAUAAAUAAUAUUUUUGUAUAAUGUAGUAUUAUAUACAUAUGGUAUAUGCAUGUAUGUGAUAACCACACAUAGGUAGUAAAUAUAAAAUAUUAAAUGCUUGUUUAUUUGUUUGUAAUUAGAAAGCCCAAAACUGAAAUAAGAUCCCUUUGCAUCCUCUGUAUAGAUGCCCCACCUUGGCCCUCAGGCCCUUGUUCAUCAAGGGGUCCCUGCCGCAGCUCUACCCUGGGUGCGCAGAGUGAGCAUGGGAUGCUCUCAUUGUUCCACUGCCCCCCGGCUGCCCCGACCCCGCCCCUUCCCAUCACUGGCCUAGGAAUUGGAGGCAUUGCCUCCUGAUGCAAAGGCCUCCUGUUUUUUGGAGCUUAGGCCUGCAUCCCACCCUGCAGGAGGUGGUGGCUGAAGCCCUGGGUUGCUCCCUGCGUAGCCCUUGCAUUGAUUACUUCCUUCUUUUGUUCAUUCCUUCAGCAAGCAUUUCCUGAAUACCUGCCUUGUGCUAGGUGCAGGUGAUCCAGGAUGAACAGAGUUCUGUCCCUUUCUUCCCAGUCCCUUCCACCUGUGCGGCAGAUUCUCUUUGGUGAAUAAGAUAGGGGAGUCACAGGUUCUAUGGGCACAGGGAUAGAGUUUCUGGCUGUUUCCUAAAAAGGAGAAGAGAUUUGGAAAACACUUCUGAUCGCUUGGCCUCCCCUCCUCCUUUUCUCAUGAGGGCCCAGACUGCAAACGGGAAACUGGUUGUCGUGUCUCCAGAAGGGCAGGCGUCCUGCACAUUGCGCCUGCCACAGGCCUGUGCUACAGGAGCCGAGCUUGGGAAAGCUGGCCAGAACCGUCUGGAGCAGGGAAAGCCUGGUUGACAGAGGCCUUUCCAGAAUUCAGCAUGGAGCGUCCCUGUGCUGACAAGACAGGAGUGGCUUAAUGCCAGGCACCAGUGUCACCAUGCAACACUUCAUGGGAAGCCUAGACUCACUGUUACGGGAAGGAAGAGCCCAAGAACCUUUGUAAUGAUGAACAACAGCUUAUGGCCUGGUCAGCAGCUGACCCAGAUGCUCAGAAGGGGAGCAGGCAAGAACUCAAGAUGCCAGCUUGCUCUGCCUACCUCCGAGAGACUGCAGUUCCCUCUCCCCAAGGGCUGCCCAUAUUUUGAAAGAUGAUAUCCCACCAUGUUCAAUAAAGGAUGAUGAACUUAUCUUUUCAUCCCAGAGGGAGAAAAUGGAAUGUUUUCUUUGGUUUGUGCUGCCCAAUGGAAGAUAAACAUAUGAUUUCCAACUGACUGUCUGAAAUAUUGAGAUCAUUACCACUAAUACUAUUACUGCCUUUGGGAGCCCAAGUAGAAAUAAUCAGUCUUACUCUUCUCUGUCAUUUUAUACAUUUUGAAACUGUCCACAAGAAGGAAGUCCAUUAGUGGCAGAACCAGGACCAGGGAGGAGAACAGAUCCUGUCAGAGCACCCACUGUGUGACUUACACUCUGUGAGGAGCCUCCCGUCCCGUGGGGGAGGUGGGUGUCAACCCAUGAGUUCAUGAUCCAGUACCAGAAAUAAAAUGGGCACACACCAGGGCUCAGGAGUGUGGAAGAGGGAGAGGUUAGAUCUCAGAGACCGUAUUAGUCCAUUUUCAUGCUGUUGAUAAAGACAUUCCUGAGAUUGGGCAUGUCUUUAAAAAACAAAGAGGUUGAGUUGGACUUACAGUUCCACGUGGCUGGGGAGGCCCCACAAUCAUAGUGGGAGGCAAGGAAGGGCAAGUCAUGUCUUAACGUGGAUGGC